UACGAGGGGGGCAAGUGUUGUUCGGAAUCACUGGGCGUAAAGGGAGCGUAGGCGGAUGUUUAAGUCGGGCGUUUAAACCCGGGGCCCAACCCCGGAGCGGCUCCCGAAACUGGGCAUCUUGAAUAGGUCAGAGGCUGGUGGAAUUGGAGGUGUAGCGGUGGAAUGCGUAGAGAUCUCCAAGAACACCUAUUGCGAAGGCAGCCAGCUGGGACCAUAUUGACGCUGAGGCUCGAAAGCAUGGGGAGCAAACAGG
rnacentral:rRNA from 1 species